rnacentral:rRNA from 1 species
UGGGGAAUUUUGGACAAUGGGCGAAAGCCUGAUCCAGCAAUGCCGCGUGUGUGAAGAAGGCCUUCGGGUUGUAAAGCACUUUUGUCCGGAAAGAAAUCCUUGGCUCUAAUACAGUCGGGGGAUGACGGUACCGGAAGAAUAAGCACCGGCUAACUACGUGCCAGCAGCCGCGGUAAUACGUAGGGUGCAAGCGUUAAUCGGAAUUACUGGGCGUAAAGCGUGCGCAGGCGGUUUGCUAAGACCGAUGUGAAAUCCCCGGGCUCAACCUGGGAACUGCAUUGGUGACUGGCAGGCUAGAGUAUGGCAGAGGGGGGUAGAAUUCCACGUGUAGCAGUGAAAUGCGUAGAGAUGUGGAGGAAUACCGAUGGCGAAGGCAGCCCCCUGGGCCAAUACUGACGCUCAUGCACGAAAGCGUGGGGAGCAAACAGGAUUAGAUACCCUGGUAGUCCACGCCCUAAACGAUGUCAACUAGUUGUUGGGGUUUAUUAACCUUAGUAGCGCAGCUAACGCGUGAAGUUGACCGCCUGGGGAGUACGGUCGCAAGAUUAAAAACUCAAAUGAAUUGACGGGGUCAUAGCUG